rnacentral:tRNA from 1 species
CGGUGAUUGGCGCAGCCUGGUAGCGCACUUCGUUCGGGACGAAGGAGUCGGAGGUUCGAAUCCUCUAUCACCGACCA